GCACUUUAAAGAGGAUCCAUUGAUUGUGACCUCCACUGUUUCUUUCAUUAUAAAUGAAUCAGCUGUCAUUCAUAUUAUCAGUCUCCUAGUCAUCCUUGUCAUCCGUGUGACAUCUGUGUGAAGGUUCGUCCAAUAUGAACUCUUAUACCAUUUUUGGAAAACAGAACUCUAUCACUACUACUUGUACUACCUUGAGAGACAGCUGGGAAAUCAUCUGGAUUUUCUUUUUCUAGCAAGGCUGUAAAAUGCAGUAGUAGUUAAGAUCCUA